rnacentral:piRNA from 1 species
AGGAACUCAAGUAGGAACUGAAGCAGA